UAUGCAAAUCACCACCUAGAUAACCAGAUGAAAUGACAGGGCACAUUUAUUUAAAAUCAGGCUUAUUCUGAUUCUGGAGACAUUUUCUGGGAGCCAAAGACAUUAUCCAAAAGAACAUGAAAGCCUUGUGUUUCUUCCUGUUUCUGGUGGCAGCUUCCAGAUGUGUCCUGUCCCAGGUACAGCUGAAGGAAUCGGGACCUGGCCUGGUGAAGCCCUCGGAGACCCUGUCCCUCACCUGCUCUGUCUCUGGAUUCUCUUUAUCCAGCUAUUAUAUGAGCUGGAUCCGGCAGGCUCCAGGAAAGGGGCUGGAGUGGGUUGGUAGGAUAAGCAAUAGUGGAAGCACAUACUACAACCCAACUCUUAAGUCCCGAGUCACCAUCACCAAGGACAACUCCAAGAAUGAAGUUUAUUUAAAGCUCAGCAGCCUGAGUCCUGAAGACACGGCCGUGUAUUACUGUGUGAGAGACACAGUGAGGGGAAGUCAGGGUGAGCCCAGACACAAACCUCCCCUGAGGGCACAGGAGGGGCUAGGCUGUCUUGGGUGA